AUUGAACGCUGGCGGCAGGCCUAACACAUGCAAGUCGAGCGGGGUUUUCGGACCUAGCGGCGGACGGGUGAGUGAUGCGUAGGAAGCUGCCCGAUAGAGGGGGAUACCAGUUGGAAACGACUGUUAAUACCGCAUAAUGUCUACGGACCAAAGUGUGGGACCUUCGGGCCACAUGCUAUCGGAUGCGCCUACGUGGGAUUAGCUAGUUGGUGAGGUAAUGGCCCACCAAGGCGACGAUCACUAGCUGGUUUGAGAGGAUGAUCAGCCACACUGGAACUGAGACACGGUCCAGACUCCUACGGGAGGCAGCAGUGGGGAAUAUUGGACAAUGGGCGCAAGCCUGAUCCAGCCAUGCCGCGUGUGUGAAGAAGGCCUUCGGGUUGUAAAGCACUUUCAGCGAGGAGGAAGGGUGGUGUGUUAAUAGCACAUCAUUUUGACGUUACUUACAGAAGAAGCACCGGCUAACUCUGUGCCAGCCGCCGCGGUAAGAC
rnacentral:rRNA from 1 species